UGCUUCCAAACCAUGUGACUUGGACUCGUUUGAAAAAGAUUAUAUUUCAUUCCCCCUCCCCCAUUCCCGUGUUUUGUCCCUAAGCAUCCUUUCCCCACUUCCCUAGGGCACUCGCCUUUCCGGAAAUGCCCUCGCCCAGCGGGCAGCCUCCACAUCCCGAGGAGCUGUUUCAGCACCUACUCUGUGCCCAGCUCAGAGGAUGGAAAGGUGAGCAACCCCCAGCGUGGUCCGCAGCCAUGGUCUCACGGAGAAGCGAGACUCCUCAGUGGGCAGGUUCACAGAAAACCAGACAGAACAAAAUGGGCAAAGAGGACCGUCCUCACAGAGGCCUCUCUUCGGCAGGAAGGCAGACGGUCAGAUACGCCAAGCCCACAGUUGCUAUCCCUGGCUGGGUGAUGAUCAAGAGACCAGGCAGUAACCAGGCGAUGUAGGUAAGGGUCCCAGGAGAGAUGCGCCUGGUGAGCUCGCAGAGGCAGCCCCUAACCCAUCUAGACUGGAGUUGGGGGCAGGGACAAGUUGCCCAAGAGAUCCAGCCCCUGCUGGGUCAAAGCCUGUGAGCGGGAGAUGGCUGGGUGAAGGAGGCAGAGGUCAAAUAGAGGGAAGCACAGAGGAGGAGCUGGAGGGGACAGUUGAGACCCUGGGCAGAGGGCCUUACACACGGGCCACAGAGUCUGGACUUUGUCCCCGCAGGCAGUGGGGAGCCAUGGAAAGCUUCCAGCCGGGAAACAGCCCGGCCAGAUUCCGGUGCCAUAGCUAGUGACACGUCUGUACCAAAGCAUAGGCCCUGAGGGUCUCUCAGCCCCUCCUAGGGCUGGGGGCCUUGCACGUGGUUUGUCCCUGGGUACUGCCUCUUCUUUCUGCAGCAGCAGUCCUCGGACGUGUCUGCGAAGGGGAGAGGUGCACCCCCGCCCCAGUCUCCAGAGAGAAGCCUGUGUCCACUCUAGAAAUGAAGCAAACAACAGCCACUGUUAAGGCAGGCAGCCCUAUGUGCCCAGAAGAUGCCCAUUUUCCACUCACCAGGCUGCCCAGACAGCUCAGAGGGUGAGAGGUCUUCUACAACAUAGCUCCCUGUGCCCCCCCAGCUCCCCCUACUAGAGGGUCGGUGCCUCUCUGCACAGAUGGUAACUGGAUGGCUGCAUCGUGCCGGGUGGAAACGCAUUUACAGUAUGGGACGCUGGUGCUCUGACACAAGCAGGGGUCUAGGGUAGAGAGCCCGAGGGCAGCCGGAAGGGGACCCCGGGGCGGCUGAGGGGAGGGGAGCAGCAUGAGGACUCCCCAGAGAG
rnacentral:lncRNA from 1 species